GCGUGGAUAGCUAAGUCGGUAGGAGCAUCAGACUUUUAAUCUGAGGGUCCAGGGUUCAAGUCCCUGAGCAGGCG
rnacentral:tRNA from 1 species